UGGCUGCUGGAGGCGUGCCGCGGGCGGAGGAGGAGGCGCGGAGGCAGCCGGCCGCUUCUACCCCCCCCAUCCCCACGCUUCAGCCGCCGGCCGGCAAGCGGAGCGCAGCGGUGACGCGGGCUGGCCCGGGCUGCUUUUUGCCAAGAUGGCAUUUCAGAAGGCAGCGAAAGGAGCGGCUCUGAUUGGCGGAGGUGCCAUAGCAACAGUUUUUGGCCUCUCUCAGUUCUCUCAGUAUAGCAACCAACACGGUACCUUUGUGCAGGUGCAGGCUGCAGAAGGUGCAGCAGCUCCACUAAAGGACCACUUCCCCACAAGAGAGCAGCAGAUUGCAAGGCUGAAGACCACAAGCGAAUUUGAUGUCCUUGUUAUAGGUGGAGGAGCCACAGGAUGUGGCUGCGCUUUAGAUGCUGUCACUAGAGGACUAAAAACAGCCCUUCUAGAAAGAGAUGAUUUCUCAUCAGGGACCAGCAGCAGGAGUACUAAAUUGAUCCAUGGUGGAGUGAGGUAUCUUCAGAAGGCCAUCAUGAACUUGGAUCUUGAGCAGUACAGGAUGGUGAAGGAAGCACUGGAGGAGCGUGCAAACCUGCUGGAAAUUGCUCCUCACCUCUCAGCUCCUCUGCCAAUAAUGCUCCCCGUGUACAAGUGGUGGCAGCUUCCCUACUACUGGUUUGGAAUAAAACUCUAUGACCUGGUGGCAGGAAGCCAGUGCCUGAAAAGUAGUUAUGUCCUCAGCAAGUCCAGAGCCUUGGAGCUCUUCCCAAUGCUACGCAAAGAUGAUCUGGUUGGAGCUAUUGUCUACUAUGAUGGACAGCACAACGACGCGCGGAUGAACCUCGCCAUCGCCCUGACCGCUGCCAGGUACGGCGCUGCCACGGCCAAUUACGCUGAAGUGCUGCGCCUGCUGAAGAGCAGGGACCCGGCCAGCGGCACGGAGCGCGUCUGCGGGGUGCGCUGCAGGGACGUCCUCACAGGGCAGGAGUUUGAUGUCAAAGCCAAGUGUGUUAUCAAUGCUACGGGCCCCUUCACAGACUCGGUGCGCAAAAUGGAUGAUCAGGAGGUGCCCAACAUCUGCCAGCCCAGCGCCGGUGUGCACAUAGUGAUGCCUGGGUACUACAGCCCUGAUAACAUGGGUCUGCUGGAUCCAGCCACCAGUGAUGGUCGAGUGAUUUUCUUCUUGCCCUGGGAGAAGAUGACUAUUGCAGGGACCACAGACAGCCCAACUGAUGUCACCUCUCAUCCCAUCCCAACAGAGGAAGACAUCAACUUCAUUCUGAACGAAGUGCGAAACUACCUUAGCGUGGAUGUUGAAGUGAGAAGGGGAGAUGUGUUGGCAGCAUGGAGUGGCAUUCGUCCUCUGGUGACAGACCCCAGCUCCAAGGACACCCAGUCCAUCUCCCGGAACCACGUCGUUACCAUCAGCCAGAGCGGCCUGGUCACCAUCGCAGGUGGGAAGUGGACAACCUACCGUGCCAUGGCCCAGGACGCCGUCGAUGCAGCCAUUCGGGCACACGGUCUGAAGGCAGGCUCCAGUAAGACCAUUGGACUGCAGCUUCGAGGGGCUGAGGACUGGAGUCCCACUCUCUACAUUAGGUUGGUCCAAGACUAUGGACUUGAAAGUGAGGUGGCUCAGCAUCUGGCUUCAACAUAUGGUGACAAGGCUUUUGAGGUGGCCAAGAUAGCCCAGGUGACAGGAAAGAGAUGGCCCAUCGUGGGGAAACGGCUCGUGUCGGAGUUUCCUUACAUUGAAGCUGAGGUGGUGUAUGGUGUGAAGGAGUACGCCCGCACCGCCGUGGACAUCAUCUCUCGCCGCACUCGCCUGGCCUUCCUCAACGUGCAGGCUGCAGAGGAGGCUCUGCCAAGAAUCGUGGAGAUAAUGGGGAAGGAACUUAACUGGAAUGAGCAGAAAAAAAAGGAAGAGCUUGAAGCUGCUAAAAGAUUUCUCUAUUUUGAAAUGGGCUACAAAGUGAAAUCAGAUCAAUUAACAGACAGCUCUGAAAUCAGCCUCCUGCCUUCAGAUAUUGAAAGGUACAAGAAGCGAUUCCACAUGUUUGACAAGGAGAAGAAGGGCUUCAUUACCAUCCUGGAUGUGCAGCGUGUCCUGGAGAGCAUCAGUGUGCAGAUUGCUGAGAACACUCUUCAUGACAUCCUCAACGAGGUGGAUCUGAACAAAAAUGGACAGGUGGAGCUCAAUGAGUUCUUGCAGCUGAUGAGUGCCAUCCAGAAGGGACACGUCUCGGGCAGCCGUCUGGCUGUGCUGAUGAAGACGGCGGAGGAGAACCUCCGGCAGCGGGCGGUCAUCCCGGUGGACCGCAGUGGUGGGGGACUGUGAAGUUCAACCACCUCCACACCUGCUGUGAAGUUCAACCCCCCACCAGGUCAGCUGUGAGUCCAGCCACCACCAUGUCUGCUCACAGCCACAAACAUUCCACUUCUCCUGACUCUCCUGGCUUGUCCCAGAUAAGUGGUGUCCAUCCGUCGGCAUGGCUCCCGUGACGGCAUGCUGGGUGCCUUUUGUUCUCCUUGUCAGUGGUUUUCUGUGCAGCUCUUACUGCUCCAGCAUGUGGCCUUUUGGAUUGGGUGCUCUCUAGACACUGGGGUCAGCUAACAAGAGUUUGGGGGCACAGCCCAGAAGGACUUGGGGGCACACACAAGGACCACGCUGCCUUCUUCGUCAGCUGUUCUAUCACCCUUAACAAAUGCGAUGCUCAGAAGUGAGUCCUGCCUUGAGGUGUCUUCUGGUUUUGCCAAGCUCUGUUUAGUGUUUCAGAGCUGCUGGUUUGUCCCCUUCAAUGAAGAGAAGGAAAGUUGACUUGCAGGGUUGGAGGUGGCAUCAGGACAGGAACAAACCUGAUGUCUCCCGAGGCAGUGAUUGCAGAUCGGAGUUGUCCUCAGCCUUCCAGAGGUGAUUUUUGGGUUUGCUCUGUUGACUGCUCUCUUAUUUUUGUGGCACCAAAUUCAGCAGCAGCAUGAAGCUGGAAGAGGACAGGACAUCUUGAUUUAUCACUUCAGCUAAUUAACCAAGAGCCAGAGGAAAGCUGCUUCUACUCCUAGAUGAAUCAAGCCAAGCUUCCUUUACUAAACAGCAUUGGCUAGUGGUGGGGGUUUAUGCUGUCCAACUCCACCCUGCUUCCAGCUGGGAGAUGUGGGAUGUGGGCAGGUUUUGAUGGCAGAAAGCCUUAAUUUAGUUCAAAAUGCUCAGCCAGGCAAGGAAAACAUGAAGGAUGUUUUCUCCAUUCCACUCUCUUUCCCAGAAGGGCUCUUUUUCAGCAGAUCAGUGAAAAAAAGAAUGAUGAGGACUUUAGGACCACUCACUUGAGAUAUUCUCAACAGCAUUGUGCCAUCUUUGCCAUCCUGCUGCAGUUUGGAGAUCACCAGGAAGGAUUCUACCCAGAAAUAUGCACCUUGAGAAGGAUCUGGUGAUGACUUUGUUGGUCUGUUCAGUAGAAAUCCCAAUUUAUAACCCAAAAGAAGCUUCAGUUCCAAGGAGCCACAUUUUCCACCUGCAGAAGCUUGUCCACCACAGAGGUGUUUCAAAGCAAAACAUACACUAUGCCAGCAUGGCCCCAAGAAUCAUCUCUGCUCCAAAAGAAUUCCUUGAAGAAUUCCUUCCCUCCAAGCCCAGCACUGCCAAAAUGAUAUUUUAAACUU